GACGAACCUGCGAAUGUUGUUCGGAAUCACUGGGCUUAAAGGGCGCGUAGGCGGGCUGUCAAGUCUGGGGUGAAAUGCCGCGGCUCAACCGUGGAACUGCCUUAGAUACUGACGGCCUCGAGGAAGGUAGGGGCAUGCGGAACUGUAGGUGGAGCGGUGAAAUGCGUUGAUAUCUACAGGAACUCCGGUGGCGAAAGCGGCGUGCUGGACCUUUUCUGACGCUGAGGCGCGAAAGCUAGGGGAGCAAACGGG
rnacentral:rRNA from 1 species